GAUAGCUGGGGCGAGAGCGCAGUUUUUAUCAGGGUAAAGCUAAUGAUUAGAGGACUGGGGAGAUCAACUCUCUCCACCUAUUCUCAAACUUUAAAUUGGUAAGAGGAACCCGUUUUCUUAAUUGAACGGGUUCGAAGAAUGUGCGCCCCAAGUGGGCCAUUUUUGGUAAGCAGAACUGGCGAUGAGGGAUGCUCCUAAAGCUGAGUUAAGGUGCCCAAGUCACAAUCAUCAGAUACCAUGAAAGGCGUUGAUUCAUUAAGACAGCAGGACGGUGACCCUAAGAGCAGGUAUCCGCUAAGGAGUGCUUCCCGCUCACCUGCAUAAUGAGUCAGCCCUGAAAAUGGAUGGCGCUAUAUUGUGACACCGAUACUCGGCCAUCAUGUCUAGACGUGACUUGAUGAGUAAGAGGGCGUGGAUCUGGUGGAGAAGCGAAGGCGAGAGCCAACGUGGAACCGGAUCUAGUGCAGAUCUUGGUGGUAGUAGCAAUUAUU
rnacentral:rRNA from 1 species